rnacentral:rRNA from 1 species
UCGGGCUUCGGCCUGGCUAGUAGAGUGGCGAACGGGUGAGUAACGCGUGGGCAAUCUACCCUUGAGUGGGGAAUAACCAUUCUAACGAGUGGCUAAUUCCGCAUGUGCCCGCUUUCUCGCAUGGGAGAGCGGUGAAAGGUGGGGAUCUUCGGACCUGCCGCUCGAGGAGGAGCCCGCGUCCCAUUAGCUUGUUGGUGAGGGUAACGGCCCACCAAGGCGACGAUGGGUAGCCGAUCUGAGAGGAUGACCGGCCACACUGGGACUGAGAUACGGCCCAGACUCCUACGGGAGGCAGCAGUCGAGAGGCUUCGGCAAUGGGGGAAACCCUGACCGAGCGACGCCGCGUGCGGGAUGAAGGCCCUCGGGUUGUAAACCGCUGUCAGGAGGGAAGAAUCCUGCCGGGUUAAUACCCCGGCAGUUGACGGUACCUCCAGAGGAAGCUCCGGCUAACUCCGUGCCAGCAGCCGCGGUAAUACGGAGGGAGCGAACGUUGUUCGGAUUUACUGGGCGUAAAGGGCGCGUAGGCGGUUUUGCAAGUCAGAGGUGAAAUGUCUCGGCUCAACCGAGGACCUGCCUUUGAAACUGCAGAACUUGAGGUCGUGAGAGGAGACUGGAAUUCCUAGUGUAGCGGUGAAAUGCAUAGAUAUUAGGAAGAACACCAGUGGCGAAGGCGAGUCUCUGGCACGAUUCUGACGCUGAGGCGCGAAAGCUAGGGGAGCGAACGGGAUUAGAUACCCCGGUAGUCC